rnacentral:rRNA from 1 species
UUAAAAAGCUCGUAGUUGGAUUUCUGCGAGGGUGCCGAUGUCCGCCGACGCGCGUGCGCAGCGGCGCCCUCGCAUCCUUCUGUUACCACCUCUCGGCAUUCACUUGCCGGUGGUCGGCUCAGAGAAUUUACCUUGAGAAAAUUAGAGUGUUUCAGGCAGGCUAGGCCGGAAUACAUUAGCAUGGAAUAAUGGAAUAGGACUACGGUCUCGUUGUUGGUUUGAGGGACUGCAGUAAUGAUUAAUAGGGAUAGUUGGGGGCAUUAGUAUUUAAUUGUCAGAGGUGAAAUUCUCGGAUUUGUUAAAGACUAACUUAUGCGAAAGCAUUUGCCAAGGAUGUUUUCAU